AGGACGAACGCUGGCGGCGUGCUUAACACAUGCAAGUCGAGCGGAAAGGCCUUUCGGGGUACUCGAGCGGCGAACGGGUGAGUAACACGUGAGUAAUCUGCCCAUCGCUUCAGGAUAGCCAUCGGAAACGGUGAUUAAUACUGGAUAUGACAUUCCUUCGCAUGUUGGGGUGUGGAAAGUUUUUUCGGCGGUGGAUGUGCUCGCGGCCUAUCAGCUUGUUGUGGGGUAAUGGCCUACCAAGGCUUUGACGGGUAGCCGGCCUGAGAGGGUGACCGGGCCAACGACGUGGGAACUGAGACACGGCCCAG
rnacentral:rRNA from 1 species